UACAGAGGGUGCGAGCGUUAAUCGGAAUUACUGGGCGUAAAGCGCACGUAGUCGGCUUUGCAAGUCGGGUGUGAAAUCCCCGGGCUCAACCUGGGAACUGCAUCCGAGACUGCAUUGCUAGAGUAUGGGAGAGGGAAGCGGAAUUUCUGGUGUAGCAGUGAAAUGCGUAGAUAUCGGGAGGAACACCAGUGGCGAAGGCGGCCUUCUGGACCAGUACUGACGCUCAUGCACGAAAGCGUGGGGAGCAAACAGG
rnacentral:rRNA from 1 species